rnacentral:rRNA from 1 species
GACGUAGGGCGCGAGCGUUUGUCCGGAUUUAUUGGGCGUAAAGAGCUCGUAGGCGGCUUGUUGCGUCAGCUGUGAAAACCCGGGGCUCAACCCCGGGCCUGCAUUCGAUACGGGCAGACUAGAGUUCGGUAGGGGAGUCUGGAAUUCCUGGUGUAGCGGUGAAAUGCGCAGAUAUCAGGAGGAACACCGGUGGCGAAGGCGGGACUCUGGGCCGAUACUGACGCUGAGGAGCGAAAGCGUGGGGAGCAAACAGG